GGAAAGUCGAUGCUUACACAUGCAGUCGAUUCAAGUUACCUUCGGGUAAUGAGGAUGGCGGACGGGUGAGUAACGCGUAAGGAACUUGCCUCUUGGACUGGGACAGCUGUUGGAAACGACAGCUAAUACCGGAUAUUAUGAGAUUCUCGCAUGAGAAACUUAUGAAAGCUAUAUGCGCCAAGAGAGAGCCUUGCGUUCCAUUAGCUAGUUGGUGGGGUAACGGCCCACCAAGGCGACGAUGGAUAGCCGGCCUGAGAGGGUGAACGGCCACAAGGGGACUGAGACACGGCCCUUACUCCUACGGGAGGCAGCAGUGGGGAAUAUUGGACAAUGGGCCACAAGCCUGAUCCAGCAAUUCUGUGUGCACGAUGAAGGUCUUCGGAUUGUAAAGUGCUUUCAGUUGGGAAGAAGAAAGUGACGGUACCAACAGAAGAAGCGACGGCUAAAUACGUGCCAGCAGCCGCGGUAAUACGUAUGUCGCAAGCGUUAUCCGGAUUUAUUGGGCGUAAAGCGCGUCUAGGCGGAAAAAUAAGUCUGAUGUUAAAAUGCGGGGCUCAACUCCGUAUUGCGUUGGAAACUGUUUUUCUAGAGUACUGGAGAGGUGGGCGGAACUACAAGUGUAGAGGUGAAAUUCGUAGAUAUUUGUAGGAAUGCCGAUGGAGAAGUCAGCUCACUGGACAGAUACUGACGCUGAAGCGCGAAAGCGUGGGGAGCAAACAGGAUUAGAUACCCUGGUAGUCCACGCCGUAAACGAUGAUCACUAGGUGCUGGGGGUCGAACCUCAGCGCCCAAGCUAACGCGAUAAGUGAUCCGCCUGGGGAGUACGCACGCAAGUGUGAAACUCAAAGGAAUUGACGGGGACCCGCACAAGCGGUGGAGCAUGUGGUUUAAUUCGACGCAACGCGAGAAACCUUACCAGCGUUUGACAUCCUAAGAAGUUUCCAGAGAUGGAUUUGUGCCGGCUUGCCGGAACUUAGUGACAGGUGGUGCAUGGCUGUCGUCAGCUCGUGUCGUGAGAUGUUGGGGUUAAGUCCCGCAACGAGCGCAACCCCUAUUGGAUGUUGCUACCAUUAAGUUGAGCACUCAUGCGAUACUGCCUGCGAUGAACAGGAAGAAAAGUGGGGGAUAAAGUCCAAGUCAUCAUGGCCCCUAUAACGCUGGGGGUACACACCUGGCUACAAUGGGGCAGUACCACAAAAUUUCCCACUCCCCGAGAAGUGGCUUAUCUCUUUAUAAGUGUGUCC
rnacentral:rRNA from 1 species